rnacentral:rRNA from 1 species
GAUGAACGCUAGCGGAAGGCUUAAUACAUGCAAGUCGUGGGGCAGCAUGAUGUAGCAAUACAUUGAUGGCGACCGGCAAACGGGUGCGGAACACGUACACAACCUUCCUUUUAGUGGGGAAUAGCCCAGAGAAAUUUGGAUUAAUACCCCAUAACUUAUAGAGAUGGCAUCAUCUUAAUAUUAAAGCUUCGGCGCUAGAAGAUGGGUGUGCGGCUGAUUAGGUAGUUGGCGGGGUAACGGCCCACCAAGCCUACGAUCAGUAGCUGAUGUGAGAGCAUGAUCAGACACACGGGCACUGAGACACGGGCCCGACUCCUACGGGAGGCAGCAGUAAGGAAUAUUGGACAAUGGACGAAAGUCUGAUCCAGCCAUGCCGCGUGAAGGAUUAAGGUCCUCUGGAUUGUAAACUUCUUUUAUUUGGGACGAAAAAAGAUAAUUCUUGAUCACUUGACGGUACCAGAUGAAUAAGCACCGGCUAACUCCGUGCCAGCAGCCGCAGUAAUAC